rnacentral:piRNA from 1 species
UAGGUAGGAAGUGGCCAAAAUGAGGUGU